rnacentral:rRNA from 1 species
AUUGAACGCUGGCGGCAGGCCUAACACAUGCAAGUCGAGCGAGCGGCGGGCGGGAGAGUAAAGUCUCGGACACUGCCCGAUGGAGGGGGAUAUCGACAGGAAACGGUAGCUAAUACCGCAUACGAUCAGAUCUGCCCAGGUGUGAGUAGCUAGGAGGUGGGGGAACCGCUCACCUAGGCGACGAUCCCCAGCUGGGCUGAGCGGAGGACCAACCACACGGGAACGGAGACACGGUCCAGAGUCCUACGGGAGGCAGCAGUGGGGAAUAUGGGACAAUGGGGGGAAGCCUGAUGCAGCGAGGCCGCGUGUGUGAAGAAGGCCUUCGGGUUGUAAAGCACUUUCAGCGGUGAGGCGUUACCCGCAGAAGAAGCACCGGCUAACUCCGUGCCAGCCGCCGCGGUAAUUC